GGGAUAUUCCACAAUGGGGGGAACCCUGAUGGAGCGACGCCGCGUGAGUGAAGAAGGGCUUCGGCUCGUAAAGCUCUUUUCUGAAGGACGAAUGGCCAUUUGGAAUGGCAGAGACGGUACUUUGGGAAUAAGUCACGGCUAACUACGUGCCAGCAGCCGCGGUAAUACGUAGGUGGCAAGCGUUAUCCGGAUUUAUUGGGCGUAAAGCGAGCGCAGGCGGUUUGAUAAGUCUGAUGUGAAAGCCUUUGGCUUAACCAAAGAAGUGCAUCGGAAACUGUCAGACUUGAGUGCAGAAGAGGACAGUGGAACUCCAUGUGUAGCGGUGGAAUGCGUAGAUAUAUGGAAGAACACCAGUGGCGAAGGCGGCUGUCUGGUCUGCAACUGACGCUGAGGCUCGAAAGCAUGGGUAGCGAACA
rnacentral:rRNA from 1 species